GACGGAGGUGUCAUAAGGGAGACCCAGCCCUGACGCGUGAGGAGAACACGGGACGCCGCCCCGAGAAGAGCUCAGCGCUGAGGCAUGAGAAAGACCCAGCCCCGAAGAGCGCUCAGUGCCGGGGGACAGAGGUGUCGUGAGGGAGACCCAGCCCCGACGCGUGAGGAGAACACGGGACACCGUCCCGAGCAGCGCUCAGCGUUGACCCAUGAAAAAGACCCAGCCCCGAAGAGCGCUCAGUGCCGCGGACGGAGGUGUCAUGAGGGAGACCCCGCCCUGAGGCGGGGCCGCGCCGUGAGGGAGACUGAGGAGGUGAGAACACUGAGACGCUUCAUGCUUUGGUGAUACUGAAUCAGUGCAGCUGGAGACAGCACAGACUUACCUCGCCUUCAUCCUCCCACCAGGGAAGGAUAUGUCCUUGGCACAAGGAGGCUGGCAGGACUUUCAGAAGUUACUCAGGUUCCACGUGCUUUGCAAUCGGAACAUUGUCAAAUGAGCAGGAAUCGGCGAUCCCGUAAAUAAUCUGCAAGAAGGGGAGCAGGUGCCAGGGGGCGCAGGAGAGCCGCCGGUAGGACACCCAUCCUCGGCCGGGAGGUGCUGCCGUGGGUAGGAAAAGUCCUUCAGUCUACGGAGUGUACAACUAAACGCAUUUAAAGCAGCUCCCUGGACACGUCUACUGCCAUGAGAUGUCUCAGCCAAGGAUUUUGAGCCAAGAUAUGAGGGAAAUGGUUUAACCAGAUGUGUGCCCAUGCCUGUGACACUGAACUUUGAGAUGCUGAUAUUUAAAAAGAUUGCCAUCUCCCCUGCCUCCCAGCAGCAAGGGAAGACUGAAGCCACUGAGCAUGGAAUCCAGCCCACCUUCUACCUCCCACCUCCCCGAGUGCAGCAAAAACAUCUACAGACUGAUCUACAGCUGCUCACAAGCACUGGAACUUCCAGUUGUCUAUGUUUUCAGGACACAAGCCACGCCAGGAA